AUACGGAGGGUGCGAGCGUUAAUCGGAAUUACUGGGCGUAAAGCGUGCGUAGGCGGUUUGCUAAGUCAGAUGUGAAAGCCCCGGGCUUAACCUGGGAACUGCAUUUGAUACUGGCAGACUAGAGUAUGAUAGAGGGGGGUAGAAUUCCUGGUGUAGCGGUGAAAUGCGUAGAUAUCAGGAGGAAUACCAGUGGCGAAGGCGGCCCCCUGCAUCAAUACUGACGCUGAGGUACGAAAGCGUGGGGAGCGAACAGGAUUAGAUACCCCAGUAGUCC
rnacentral:rRNA from 1 species